rnacentral:rRNA from 1 species
GACGGGUGACGGAGAAUUAGGGUUCGAUUCCGGAGAGGGAGCCUGAGAGACGGCUACCACAUCUAAGGAAGGCAGCAGGCGCGCAAACUACCCAAUCCUGACUGAGGGAGGUAAUGACAAGAAAUAACAACAGCGGGCUUUGUCUCGCUGAUUGGAAUGAGCACAAGGUAAAAGUCUUAGCUAGGACCGACUGGAGGGCAAGUCUGGUGCCAGCAGCUGCGGUAAUACCAGCUCCGAUAGCGUAUAUUAAAGUUGUUGCAGUUAAAAAGCUCGUAGUUGGACUUGUGUGCGCUGUCCGCGGGUGGCCUGCGCCCAAAAGGGCGUUUCGGUUCGGCCCCGGUGGCGCCUUGAAAUCUGCAGCUGGGGGGACGUUGGCCUUAACUGGUCGGCGACCGCACGCCGGCUGCUCGGUUACUGUGAGAAAAUUAGAGUGUUCAAGGCAGGCAUUGGGUGCAAUUGAAUACAUUAGCAUGGAAUAAUAAAAUAUGGCUCCUGCCGUAUUUUGUUGGUUUUGACUGGUGGGAGUAAUGAUUGAUAGGGACGGUAGGGGGUGCUAGUAUUGAGCGGCCAGAGGUGAAAUUCAUGGAUUCGCUCAAGACUAACUUAUGCGAAAGCAUUCACCAAGGACGUCCUCUUUAAUCAAGAACGAAAGUUGGGGGAUCGAAGACGAUCAGAUACCGUCGUAGUCUCAACCAUAAACUAUGUCGACUUGGGAUCGGCGGUAGUUUUUUCAUUAAGACACUGUCGGGACCACGGGAGAAAUCAAAGUGUCUGGACUCUGGGGGAAGUAUGGUCGCAAGGCUGAAACUUGAAGGAAUUGACGGAAGGGCACCACCAGGAGUGGAGCCUGCGGCUUAAUUUGACCCAACACGGGGAAACUUACCAGGUCCAGAGAUGUAGAGGAUUGACAGAUUGAAGCUCUUUCUUGAUCACUUCGGUGGUGGUGCAUGGCCGUUCUUAGUUGGUGGAGUGAUUUGUCUGGUUAAUUCCGUUAACGAACGAGACCUCAGCCUGCUAGUGUAGUCGGCUGGAUUGCCUUUGGCGAUCCGUGAUUUCGACUUCUUAGAGGGACAAUCGACGCGCAGUCGAUGGAAGUUUGAGGCAAUAACAGGUCUGUGAUGCCCUUAGAUGUUCUGGGCCGCACGCGCGCUACACUGCUGGGCUCAGCGAGUUUUACUUGGCCGAGAGGCCCGGUUAAUCUUGUGAAAUCCCAGCGUGCUUGGGCUCGCCUCCUGCAACUGGAGGCGCCAACGAGGAAUUCCUAGUAGACGCAGGUCAUCAACCUGCAUCGAUUACGUCCCUGCCCUUUGUACACACCGCCCGUCGUUCCACAAGAGUGAGGCAUCCGGUGAAUUCUCGGGAGAGCCUGGGCGUGGCCAGCAAUGGUCUGCUCGGGUUUGAACUUGCAUAAACUUGGUGC